rnacentral:rRNA from 1 species
UACGGAGGGGGCUAGCGUUGUUCGGAAUUACUGGGCGCAAAGCGCACGUAGGCGGCUUUACAAGUCAGGGGUGAAAGCCCGGAGCUCAACUCCGGAAUUGCCCUUGAGACUGUACCGCUUGGACACGGGAGAGGUGAGUGGAAUUCCGAGUGUAGAGGUGAAAUUCGUAGAUAUUCGGAAGAACACCAGUGGCGAAGGCGGCUCACUGGACCGUUGUUGACGCUGAGGUGCGAAAGCGUGGGGAGCGAACAGG